UGGCGGCGUGCCUAAUACAUGCAAGUCGAACGCACAGCGAAAGGUGCUUGCACCUUUCAAGUGAGUGGCGAACGGGUGAGUAACACGUGGACAACCUGCCUCAAGGCUGGGGAUAACAUUUGGAAACAGAUGCUAAUACCGAAUAAAACUUAGUGUCGCAUGACACAAAGUUAAAAGGCGCUUCGGCGUCACCUAGAGAUGGAUCCGCGGUGCAUUAGUUAGUUGGUGGGGUAAAGGCCUACCAAGACAAUGAUGCAUAGCCGAGUUGAGAGACUGAUCGGCCACAUUGGGACUGAGACACGGCCCAAACUCCUACGGGAGGCUGCAGUAGGGAAUCUUCCACAAUGGGCGAAAGCCUGAUGGAGCAACGCCGCGUGUGUGAUGAAGGCUUUCGGGUCGUAAAGCACUGUUGUAUGGGAAGAACAGCUAGAAUAGGAAAUGAUUUUAGUUUGACGGUACCAUACCAGAAAGGGACGGCUAAAUACGUGCCAGCAGCCGCGGUAAUACGUAUGUCCCGAGCGUUAUCCGGAUUUAUUGGGCGUAAAGCGAGCGCAGACGGUUUAUUAAGUCU
rnacentral:rRNA from 1 species